UGGGGAAUAUUGCACAAUGGGCGCAAGCCUGAUGCAGCCAUGCCGCGUGUGUGAAGAAGGCCUUCGGGUUGUAAAGCACUUUCAGCGAGGAGGAAGGGUAGUGUGUUAAUAGCACAUUGCAUUGACGUUACUCGCAGAAGAAGCACCGGCUAACUCCGUGCCAGCAGCCGCGGUAAUACGGAGGGUGCAAGCGUUAAUCGGAAUUACUGGGCGUAAAGCGCACGCAGGCGGUUUGUUAAGUGAGAUGUGAAAUCCCCGCGCUUAACGUGGGAACUGCAUUUGAAACUGGCAAGCUAGAGUCUUGUAGAGGGGGGUAGAAUUCCAGGUGUAGCGGUGAAAUGCGUAGAGAUCUGGAGGAAUACCGGUGGCGAAGGCGGCCCCCUGGACAAAGACUGACGCUCAGGUGCGAAAGCGUGGGGAGCAAACA
rnacentral:rRNA from 1 species